rnacentral:misc_RNA from 1 species
CCGAGUUUACAACUCCCAAACCCCUGUGAACAUACCACUUGUUGCUUCGGCGGAUCAGCCCGCUCCCGGUAAAACGGGACGGCCCGCCAGAGGACCCCUAAACUCUGUUUCUAUAUGUAACUUCUGAGUAAAACCAUAAAUAAAUCA